AGUUCCAGAUACUCGGGAGGCUGAAACGGGAGGCUCGCUUGAGCCUGGGAGGUCGAGACUGCAGUGAGCUGUGAUUGUGUCACUGCACUCCAGCCUGGGCGACAGAGCAAGACCCUGCUACCCACCUCCCCCAGAAAACCAAGAAAGACCAAUGUGGAGAGUUGGUCGCCCAUCUGCUCCAAGCUGCUGUGUAUUCCCCGUAAUGUAAACAUCGUGAAUAUGGAGACCCAGUUAACCUUUUAGGUGGAGGGCCAGAUGAUGGAGGGCGACAUGUGACCCGGAAGGCAUUCUGCAACCAGGCCUAACACAUCUACAGGGAACCAGUGGGAAACAUCUGGGGAGGACAACCCAAAUAAGUAUCUUGCGAGCAAGGGAUAGUUUGAGAACUUUAAAAAUCACUGUUGUUUUGCACAUAUGAAGUUGAUGGGGGAGGAAGGACCCUUAAAUGCUGAGAGGGCACUGAGUAUUCCAAGCAACUGGAGAGAGGUUGUGUGCCUCAACAGGUUUUCAACGCCAAGGAGAUGACCCAUCUUUCGAAGUGCAUGCCUUCCUACUUUUGGUGCAAAAAACAAAAAUCUGGAAAGCUUAGAGGAAGCUAAGGACAGGAUUUCCCUCAUUUUUUGUGGCAGUGCCUCAGGUGACAAUGAUAAACCACUGUUGCUUUACGAAGGCUCUAAUCCCCCACUUGUCUUUUAGAAACAGAUAAACACCUUCCUGUUUUCUUGUGAUCACACCCAGAAUCACCAGUGCCACUUUUUGGAUUGGUUUCGUUAUUGUUCAAGUCCAAAGUCAUUUAACAGAAAUAAAAUCUGGAAAUCAGAAUGUUGCUAGUUGUGGACAGAGGUCCCAAUCACCCAGCCUCAUUAUUCUUUGUUCUUUCUAAUGUUGAUAUUGUGUUUAUCCCUCAGGGAGCCCUAGCUUUCUUCAGCCCUUGGGUCAGGGUAUAACUGAAGCAUUUGGGAGGUAUUACACCAAGCAUAUGUUUGACCGCUUUGCUGACUGUAUUGAAAAAAACCCUCACCUUACUCUGAAAGAAACAUGACAACAGUACAAUAUUGCUGAUGCUUUAGUAGUGAUAAAAGAGGUGAUGGGUGAUAUAAAAUCAGCCACUCUUAAGCUUGCUGGAAAGUUCAGGAGGAUGUGUGAAUGAUUAUGCAUGUUUCCCUAGAGCUAAUGAAGUUAAAAAAAAUCUUAGUGUCUGCAAAACAGAUGAGUUUAAGAUUCAUUGAUAUCAGGAAAGUAAAAUUAAUGAGCUACUCAAGUUUCAUUGUUUGGUCAUAACUGAGAGUCUAUGUCCAUAGGAAAAAGUAUUUGCAGACAGAGGAAAUUUAAUGCUGUCUGAUGCAGACCUCACUGAUACUAUAAUUGAUAUGGAUCCUUUCCUCGAUCGAAGCGUGGCUUUUAAAAGAGAUUUCAAUAAAUUGCGUAUACUUAUAAAGAGAUGUAAAAGAACCUUCAAAAUAAAGCAAAGGACUUGAAGAAAGAGAAGGAAGACAUGAUGAAAAGGAUGUCAUUUAGGUGAAGGUGAUGGAUACAGAAUCUGAGUCUGAGGGGAAAUUUGACUCUGAAUCAGGAUCCGAUAAGGAGCAGGAGAAGAUGGAGGAUAAGAAGCUGCCAGAAGAAAUGUGUGGACCCUCCAGCAUGGCACUCAGAGUCAUGAUAUGUCUGAAGAAACUGUCCAAGCCAUUAACACGAAAUUGAACCUUUGGAAUGUAACCUUGGAAGUGAAUCUGGAGAGAGUAUAGGUACCUGAAUUGAAGGACAAAGAGGUUCCAGAGGCCAUCCUUCCCUUGUUACCCCAAUGUCAUUUUCAUCACUACCAUCGUCCUUUUUUCAUCACAGCCACACAUCUGUAUCAUUUAAUCAUUUAACAAACAUCGAGCUUAAACUCUGCAGGGCUCUGAGCUAAACUUGGGGACAUUGGCUCAGGAAAUCAUCUCAGAAUCUGAGAUCCUGGCAGCUUCUUUUCUGACACACCACAUGCUCAUGUUCAAGGCCCUUAUCGUGCAGCUCCACUCACCUGUGACCUGCAGCUUUGUCUUUGGCACUUACUGCAUCAUCUCUGUCAACUGUUCCUAUGAGAAAAUUGCCAGAGACAUUGUCAGGUAUGGUGAAAGGGCUUAGGUGUGGCCCCAGGAGGCUCAAGAAGCUACGGGAUGCUCCAGAGGGACCACUAUUGUGCCCCUCUCUUGCUUCUGACAACACUGUCCAUCCAAUGAUGAACUGUGAUUUAUUAAGCAUGUUAUGGGAACUUUAAAAUACCUCAUUCAGCAGAAAGGAGGCAGAGGAUUAUAAUCCCCAUUCGACAGACAGGAUACUGAGGCCCAAGUCCUCAUGUUUCUUCAGUCUGGAAAGUGAAGAGAACUUGCACUGUGUGACAAGGGCCAGGCGAAAGAAACAGGAGAGGAGAGAUUCCUGUAGACCUGGGUUGUCAGGGAAGAUCCCUUGGAAAAGGUCAGUGGUUGAAUUGUGCCUUGAGGGAUAGAGAGACUUUUUUUUUGGAAGCAAGAAUAGGGAGGCUUCUGACUGAUCAGCUGGAGUAGGUGGAAUCUUCUAGGUGGGCAAGAGAAUACAGAGAUAUUGGGGGGGGGGGUUUGUUUUGGGAAGAGAUAUGCAUGGCACAAUAAAAAUAGUUGGCAUUUAAUGAAGGCAUACAGUGCCACCUGGUAUACUGGGUAAGUGCUUGUGUACCUUGUGUUAGUAAAUCCCCAGCAGUCCAGUCAUGUAGGGCCUUUUUGUUAUUUGCUGUUUUACAGGAGCCUUUAAAGGAAACUAAGUGACUUGUCCAUAGUCAGACAGUUAGUAGGGGCAACCUUAGAAUUUGAGCCCAUGUCUGUGAGACUCUAAAGCUAUCUGGCCUAACUGAUCACUUGUUGACAGAUGGGAACAUAAGUUGGAGAGUGAUAGGCCAUGGGCCUGGAUAGGUGGGCUGCAGCAGGUUGCAGAGGGCCUCCAGUGAGACUGGCCAGUUGGGUUUUAUCACGUGAGUUGAUUCUAAUCAUAGUCACUCACAGAGCUUUACUUUCUCUCCAAAGGCUGUACAUCCUUUUGAAAUCUCAGAGGUCUUUAGUCUCCCUGUGGAUCAAGGAGAUGUGUCCUAUUUAAAGUGGCUUGAGGAAAGCAUGGAAGAGGACUGAGUGGGCGAAGCUUUUUGUGCAUGCUGCUGGCUGCCUCCAGCCUUCAUCAGCUGCACUCUGGGGAAGAGGGGGCCUCCUUCUACCUCCCAGCAUCUCUGGAUUCCAUGUUCCUGUCAGCGCAGAGGGCCAGUCAGGCCAAGCAAGAACCCAGUGUAACUUGUCUCUGAGUGCUUCAUGGUUAAGGGGGAUCGGGGAUAUGAGGGCACGAGGAUGGUUGUGUGGAGACUGAGGGCAAGAGGCAGUGAGGGUAAGACUUGUCAUCUUCUUGAGUCACUAGGCCUACCUGAAAUGCCUAGGAUGUAAUUGCUCUGCUGCUUCUCAUGGGGAGGAGUGGCCCCAGUGACCUUGUUCACCUGGAAGAGUGUGGGAUGAAUGCCUCCUCCUAGGGGGACUGGCAAGUGCUUUAUCAAAAAGAUAAAUUGCUAAUGGUGCCAACUCAUGGAUCAGCAGGAUUAUUUCUCCUUGCUAAAGAGGCUUUUGUGGCUUCUGAAUUCUGACGAUGUGGGACUAGGAAUGGGCUUCAUGAGCUUGUGUAUAAUUCAGGGAAUAUUAGGACUUUGGCACAGCCUCAUGGGUUGCGAGUAAGUCUUGGCUCUUCCCUAGUCGGAAUGACAGACAUCAGGUCAUUCUGGUGCCUUGUCAGUGAAGACGUAGAUUCUGAGCCCACCAAACUAACCUUUUCCCUUGAGCACAGAAGCAGCCCCAGUAAUCAGACCCGUGUCUUUCAGGUUUGCUUCACAGAGCCCCAGAGGUUGACAAAAGGUACUUUGGAGGCUCCCUGCAUGGGGAUUUUUUAAAAAGCUUUGUUAAAGAUUUGUAAACCACCCCUCUGAGCCAGUUUUCAUUUUAUAGAUUACUGCAGGAAACUGAACUGCAUGGAGGCCCAGAAAGGGGGUGGUGCAACCUGGGCUGCUCAUCCUCUGUUUCAUGCUCUCGUGUACCUGCUCCAUGGGUUUGUGGCAGAAGAGGGCAGGGAAGGCAGUGGCCUGCCAAGCCCCAUGGACUAAGAAGGGAAAUUUGCCCCAGAAACCCCUCUGAAUCUGUCAUGAGGUAACUCCAUUCUGUGGAGACCAUGGGCAGUUUGGGUGGGGGUCUACAGAUAGCUGUUAUAUCUUGGGUCCCUCCUUGAGGGGAGGGUGUGCAGGAAGGCUAACGCCAGGCUGUGGUUCUGACAAUUACUGUACUUCUUGGAUCUUUGUGCUCCCAAAUAUCAAAUGGAAGAUCUCUGAGAGUCCUUUGCAAAGAUCUUGUAGGGACUUUAGGCUGAGGCCCUUGGAAUGUUCCAGAGGGUUCCAAUGGAGAUUUUGAGGGACUGCCUCAGAAGAACAAAGAGAAUGAUAGUGGUGAUGUCCCUUGCUUUUUACAACAGAUCAUGUUCUGAUAGAUAUGCAAAUCUGUGUAAAGUAAACCCUACCUAAAUGUACUGGGGAUCCAAGACAUACUGCCUGUAUUGCUUCCAGGAGAAAGUCCAAUUUCUAGGUCUGGUUUUUAUAACCUUGCUUCAGCUCACCUUUUCUGUCAUCAUCCCCUGCAUCUCCUCUCCCACUUUGGGAAAUGGAUGGCUCCACUAUACUGUGUGAUGUUAUUCCUGUGUUCCUGCUGUCUCCUCUGCCCGGAAUGCCCUUCUGCCUGAAUGCUUGUGAAAUGUUGCUGCUCCUUUGUAUGGCCUGGCUUCCGUGAUUGGGAGGAAUCUCUUCUGUUGUGGUAUUUCUGUCAUCUUUGUGCAUCACAGUCGGCUUUAUAUUCCUAGGUUGUAAGCUGCUUGAGGAUAGGGGCAUGUCUGAAUCUAUUUAAUCUGUCAUACCUGUUUGGCAAAUUGAUGUCUUAAGUAUUUAAUUAACUAAAGCUCUCUCUACAGUACAUAGUCACUUUUGAUUUAUGGAAUUAGCAAAUUCAACUUUUUUCCUUUAAUAUUCUUAAAGUGAGACUAAUUCCAAAGGAGAUUUUUCUGUCUGUGGCCUUCACUGGGUGGUUUUCUGUUAUCAGAAAACUCCUGGUGGCCUUCCUCUUCCCUGGUGUCAAGUUGACUGUUGUAGGAAACGGGAGGGGAGAGGGCCAUUUCUACCGGGCAUUGUCCUCGGUUCCUUAACACUAAUCCUUAUAAUGCAUUGUUAUCCUCAUUUUACAGAUGAAACCUGAGAUCAGAGAGCAUGAAACACAUAAAGUAUUUGGCAGAGCUAGGAUGUGAACCCAACUCUGAUUCUAAACCUAAUGCUCUUACUUUUUCUCAGAGGUUCACUGAGUUCUUUGUAGGCCAUAGAUCCAGAGAAGCUGCUGCAGCCAACAGUAAAAUUAUUAGUUCUUAAAACAUCUAUGCGGUAAGUUGGUCUGGCACUUAAAAAUGUAUUGUUUACUACUCACCACAGAUCUUCAGGAGUUCACUGAUCUCUACGGUCUGCCUUAACUCCAACUUAUGUGGUUUGGCCACUAUUACAUACUGUCAUCCCAGAAUGAUGCUGCAGAGGCUGGGGCUAAGACCCAGUCCAGUGUUUCCAUGUGGGAAUUCCCUCCCAGUAUUUCUUAGGAAAUAUAUGUUUUUUGAAUCCAUAAUCACUAGAAAAAUCAGUUGAGGAAAUGAGAAGUAUUACAGUUAUUCUGUGAAUACUAACACCAUUAUAGAGACAUUACUGGUUUGAAAGAAUCCAGCUUCAUCAAAUAUAACAUACCGAGUUGAAGGCUACAAGAACAGAGACAGGAGCAUAGCCGAGAGAAAUGAUCACCAUCUAAUUAGCCUUACUUUUGGUUGCUGUGAUGUCACUAAGUGUGUAUGUCUGGCCCUAUUGGCUGCAAAUGGUGAGUUCUUGUGAAUAAAAUGAUUUGAUAAACAACCUAGCAUACUUGAUACAAAUCUUAUGAAUGGUGUUCCGAGAAAUAAACUUUGGAAGCAAAAUAA